CCUACGGGUGGCAGCAGUGAGGAAUAUUGGUCAAUGGACGCAAGUCUGAACCAGCCAUGCCGCGUGCAGGAAGACGGCUCUAUGAGUUGUAAACUGCUUUUGUACGAGGGUAAACGCAGAUACGCGUAUCUGUCUGAAAGUAUCGUACGAAUCAGGAUCGGCUAACUCCGUGCCAGCAGCCGCGGUAAUACGGAGGAUGCGAGCGUUAUCCGGAUUUAUUGGGUUUAAAGGGUGCGCAGGCGGCCUGUUAAGUCAGCGGGAAAAGCCCGGGGCUCAACCCCGACGAGCCGUGGAAACUGGGGGGCGGGAGUGGGAGAGAGGUAGGUGGAAGUCGGUGUGUAGCGGUGGAAGGCGUAGAUAGCGAGAAGAACCCCGGUUGCGAAGGCGGCGUACCGGCUCGACACUGACGCUGAGGCACGAAAGCGUGGGUAGCGAACAGGAUUAGAUACCCCUGUAGUC
rnacentral:rRNA from 1 species